UCAUUCAGUUUACGACCAUUGUUAGGUUCACUUGUUUUUUAUUAAGCUAUUGUCGUAAUUUAUUUUAAAUUUUUAAAUGUAUAGUUUAUACUUAUAUACCUAUAAGUUCUUUAUUUUGAUUUGGUGAUAUGUUUAGAUUGUAGCGUUUUAAUAGCGUAACAAUGUGCAGAAAAUGCUGGAGUUAGCGAACCAGUCGCAGCAGGGACAACCAACGGCUUACACAUCGCGAAAAAGCAAUGGUCCGUAUUUAAAAAAAACCAACAAAGUUUAAUAAAUACUUUUUACGUGUC